GAUGAACGCUGGCGGCGUGCCUAAUACAUGCAAGUCGAGCGAAUGGAUUAAGAGCUUGCUCUUAUGAAGUUAGCGGCGGACGGGUGAGUAACACGUGGGUAACCUGCCCAUAAGACUGGGAUAACUCCGGGAAACCGGGGCUAAUACCGGAUAACAUUUUGAACCGCAUGGUUCGAAAUUGAAAGGCGGCUUCGGCUGUCACUUAUGGAUGGACCCGCGUCGCAUUAGCUAGGUGGUGAGGUAACGGCUCACCAAGGCAACGAUGCGUAGCCGACCUGAGAGGGUGAUAGGCACCAACGGGAAUGGGACACGGCCCAGACUCCUACGGGAGGCAGCAGUAGGGCAUCUUCCGCAAUGGACGAAAGUCUGACGGAGCAACGCCGCGUGAGUGAUGAAGGCUUUCGGGUCGUAAAACUCUGUUGUUAGGGAAGAACAAGUGCUAGUUGAAUAAGCUGGCACCUUGACGGUACCUAACCAGAAAGCCACGGCUAACUACGUGCCAGCAGCCGCCGUAA
rnacentral:rRNA from 1 species